rnacentral:rRNA from 1 species
GCUCGAGUGGCGAACGGGUGAGUAACUCGUGAGUAACCUGCCCUUGACUUUGGGAUAACUUCAGGAAACUGGGGCUAAUACCGGAUAGGAGCUCCUGCUGCAUGGUGGGGGUUGGAAAGUUUCGGCGGUUGGGGAUGGACUCGCGGCUUAUCAGCUUGUUGGUGGGGUAGUGGCUUACCAAGGCUUUGACGGGUAGCCGGCCUGAGAGGGUGACCGGCCACAUUGGGACUGAGAUACGGCCCAG